AGGACGAACGCUGGCGGCGUGCUUAACACAUGCAAGUCGAACGGGAGUAUUGAAGAAGCUUGCUUUAGAGAUACUUUAGUGGCGGACGGGUGAGUAACGCGUGAGGAGCUGUCCUAUGCAGGGGGACAACAGCUGGAAACGGCUGCUAAUACCCCAUAAGCCGAGAGGUAAAAGGAUCAAUCCGGCAGAGGAGGUACUCGCGUCCUAUCAGCUAGUAGGUGAGGUAACGGCUCACCUAGGCGAAGACGGGUAGCCGGCCUGAGAGGGCGAACGGCCACACUGGAACUGAGAUACGGUCCAGACUCCUACGGGAGGCAGCAGUGGGGAAUAUUGGGCAAUGGGGGGAAACCCUGACCCAGCGACGCCGCGUGGGUGAAGAAAUCCUUCGGGAUGUAAAGCCCUGUUGUAUGGGAAGAGCGGAAGACGGUACCAUACGAGGAAGCCCCGGCAAACUACGUGCCAGCCGCUGC
rnacentral:rRNA from 1 species